rnacentral:rRNA from 1 species
AUUGAACGCUGGCGGCAUGCUUUACACAUGCAAGUCGAACGGUAACAGGCCUUCGGGUGCUGACGAGUGGCGAACGGGUGAGUAAUGCAUCGGAACGUACCCAGGGGUGGGGGAUAACGCAGCGAAAGCUGUGCUAAUACCGCAUGUGAUCUGAGGAUGAAAGCGGGGGACCGAGCAGCAAUGUUUGGCCUCGCGCCUUUGGAGCGGCCGAUGUCGGAUUAGCUAGUUGGUGGGGUAAAGGCCUACCAAGGCGACGAUCCGUAGCUGGUCUGAGAGGACGACCAGCCACACUGGGACUGAGACACGGCCCAGACUCCUACGGGAGGCAGCAGUGGGGAAUUUUGGACAAUGGGCGCAAGCCUGAUCCAGCAAUGCCGCGUGCGGGAAGAAGGCCUUCGGGUUGUAAAACGCUUUUGGCAGGAACGAAACGGUGUCCGCUAAUACCGGGCGCUAAUGACGGUACCUGCAGAAUAAGCACCGGCUAACUACGUG